UUUCUCUUCUUUCCUCGGCGGCUCAUCCGUCCUCCCGUUCCUCCAACAAUCAUGUGGAUGGUCCCACUGGACCCAUCAUUCACUGGUCCAGGUCCUAUUCUUCUAGGCGUCUGAGUUGUCGGACCAGACUGAGGCCUCUGUCCCUCUGGUUUUUUCACAAAAUUUUUGAGGUGUCCCCUUUUUAUUAGCCUCUCAAUCUCCGCGAUUAACUGAAAACAGUUAUUCGUAUCGUGCCCAUGGCUCCGGUGGUACUGACAAUACUUGUCAGGAUUUCUUUGAUCUGCUUCCGACUUCAUGGGUUUGGGCCACUGGAGGAACUCCUUAUCUUGGACUGCCAUGAGCACUUCGGCUCUGGAAGCGUUGAGGGGGGUUGGCUUCUCGGGAACCCAAGGAGGGAGCACUCUUGGUUCAAGAGCCCGAGGAGGAGGUGGAGGCCUUUGAUCCCUUUUCUCCCAAGCCUGUUUGUACGGCUCAGGCCUCUUUCCAUGUUUCUUCUCGUG
rnacentral:lncRNA from 1 species